rnacentral:lncRNA from 1 species
CUUCAAACGUUUGGAAGAACCACCAGAGGUUCAACCAUUAUUGGUAACAGAGUCUGCCAGUAGCUCUUGCAAGCCUACCCCAAUGAGGACUCCAACAAACAGUAGUAGUCUCUCGGAAACCGAGGAUGAUGAUUGUCUUUGUGCGUUUUCAUCUAUGAUAGAUGAGCAUGCAUAAAGACACUUGUGUAUGAAGGAGAUUUAAGUGGAAAAGCCGAUGCACAGAGACAGUCCCACUCUCUCGGCAUUGGAAGCCUGGGUCCAGUGGCACGAAAAGUCGUUACACCUGGAGACUUCCUCAGCUGCAUUGGAUGGCCGUGUUGUCCUUUGUGCUCCAACAUGCCCAUAGCAUUCCACAGUGCUUUGCUGCGUCGCCAUCUCAGCUGUUGAACCUUCUUAUUGGUUUCUUCCGCCUGUUCUGCCGAAGCAGUCUUCACAUGCUGGAGCCCUGAAGAUUAACAAGCAGACUAUGUAUGAAGCAUUCUCAACUCCUCAAAAUAGACGGCCAAAUAAAAACUAAAGCUAUCAUUAGCGUUGUCA